rnacentral:tRNA from 1 species
UAAGGUAUAGCUCAGUGGUAGAGUUUGCACUUAGCAUGCAUGAGGGCCUGGGUUCAAUCCCCAGUACCUCUG